UGCAAGUCGAGGGGAAACGACAUCGAAAGCUUGCUUUUGAUGGGUGUCGACCGGCGCACGGGUGAGUAACGCGUAUCCAACCUGCCCACCACAUGGGGAUAACCUUGCGAAAGUAAGACUAAUACCCAAUGAUAUCUCUAGAAGACAUCUGAAAGAGAUUAAAGAUUUAUCGGUGAUGGAUGGGGAUGCGUCUGAUUAGCUUGUUGGCGGGGUAACGGCCCACCAAGGCGACGAUCAGUAGGGGUUCUGAGAGGAAGGUCCCCCACAUUGGAACUGAGACACGGUCCAAACCCCUACGGGAGGCAGCAGUGAGGAGUAUUGGUCAAUGGACGAGAGUCUGAACCAGCCAAGUAGCGUGCAGGAUGACGGCCCUAUGGGUUGUAAACUGCUUUUAUAAGGGAAUAAAGUGAGUCUCGUGAGACUUUUUGCAUGUACCUUAUGAAUAAGGACCGGCUAAUUCCGUGCCAGCAGCCGCGGUAAUACGGAAGGUCCGGGCGUUAUCCGGAUUUAUUGGGUUUAAAGGGAGCGUAGGCCGGAGAUUAAGCGUGUUGUGAAAUGUAGACGCUCAACGUCUGCACUGCAGCGCGAACUGGUUUCCUUGAGUACGCACAAAGUGGGCGGAAUUCGUGGUGUAGCGGUGAAAUGCUUAGAUAUCACGAAGAACUCCGAUUGCGAAGGCAGCUCACUGGAGCGCAACUGACGCUGAAGCUCGAAAGUGCGGG
rnacentral:rRNA from 1 species